UACGUAGGUGGCGAGCGUUGUCCGGAUUUAUUGGGUUUAAAGGGUGCGUAGGCGGCUUUGAAAGUCAGUGGUGAAAUACUCCAGCUUAACUGGAGGGGUGCCAUUGAUACUGCGGAGCUUGAGUACAGAUGAGGUAGGCGGAAUUGACGGUGUAGCGGUGAAAUGCAUAGAUGUCGUCAAGAACACCGAUAGCGAAGGCAGCUUACUGGGCUGUAACUGACGCUGAUGCACGAAAGUGUGGGGAUCAAACAGG
rnacentral:rRNA from 1 species